AACAAACAAGAUUGCAAAAGACGGUGCCUGUUUCCAUUUCAAUCAGUUUUGCUAUAUUAUAUCCCAUGCUGAUUUUUUGUUACUGGCUGCGAGAUGUGCAUAAAUGGAGAGCUGGUUGGGAAGCACACAAGUGGCACUCACGUAACUGCAGGACACUGUGAUGGUUGUAAAUGUGCGAUGCUCCCAAAUGGCAACCACGUGUCAGCAGGAUGCUGCAAUGAUCACAAAUGAUCUUCCCAGGUAUUGAUGUUAAACUGAUUGAUCUGUAGUUUCC